rnacentral:misc_RNA from 1 species
CUCUCGCUCUGCCCAGGACGCACAGAUGAGAGCGCUCCGAAGACUGAGAUGAGCUUGGGGCUUAGCCGAGUAAGGAGUGAGCGGCUUUUCAGCCUCAGUGCUGCGGCAGAGGCGGAUGGAGGAUGAACUGGAGCCGUCCUUACGGCCUCGGACGCAGAUUCAGGGCAGGAUCCUGCUCCUGACCAUCUGCGCUGCCGGCAUUGGUGGGACUUUUCAGUUUGGCUAUAACCUCUCUAUCAUCAAUGCCCCGACCUUGCACAUUCAGGAAUUCACCAAUGAGACAUGGCAGGCGCGUACUGGAGAGCCACUGCCCGAUCACCUAGUCCUGCUUAUGUGGUCCCUCAUCGUGUCUCUGUAUCCCCUGGGAGGCCUCUUUGGAGCACUGCUUGCAGGUCCCUUGGCCAUCACGCUGGGAAGGAAGAAGUCCCUCCUGGUGAAUAACAUCUUUGUGGUGUCAGCAGCAAUCCUGUUUGGAUUCAGCCGCAAAGCAGGCUCCUUUGAGAUGAUCAUGCUGGGAAGACUGCUCGUGGGAGUCAAUGCAGGUGUGAGCAUGAACAUCCAGCCCAUGUACCUGGGGGAGAGCGCCCCUAAGGAGCUCCGAGGAGCUGUGGCCAUGAGCUCAGCCAUCUUUACGGCUCUGGGGAUCGUGAUGGGACAGGUGGUCGGACUCAGGGAGCUCCUAGGUGGCCCUCAGGCCUGGCCCCUGCUGCUGGCCAGCUGCCUGGUGCCCGGGGCGCUCCAGCUCGCCUCCCUGCCUCUGCUCCCUGAAAGCCCGCGCUACCUCCUCAUUGACUGUGGAGACACCGAGGCCUGCCUGGCAGCACUACGGCGGCUCCGGGGCUCCGGGGACUUGGCAGGGGAGCUGGAGGAGCUGGAGGAGGAGCGCGCUGCCUGCCAGGGCUGCCGUGCCCGGCGCCCAUGGGAGCUGUUCCAGCAUCGGGCCCUGAGGAGACAGGUGACAAGCCUCGUGGUUCUGGGCAGUGCCAUGGAGCUCUGCGGGAAUGACUCGGUGUACGCCUACGCCUCCUCCGUGUUCCGGAAGGCAGGAGUGCCGGAAGCGAAGAUCCAGUACGCGAUCAUCGGGACUGGGAGCUGCGAGCUGCUCACGGCGGUUGUUAGUGUGAGUCUGGAGGGUGCCCUUCCUCCACCAGCCCUGUGGGGAGGGACCCCCAGGUCCUCUGCAUUAAACCAGUUUACACUCCA